GGAUCCGUGGUGUAAUGGUUAGCACUCUGGACUUUGAAUCCACUGAUCCGAGUUCACAGUUUGGUGGAACCU
rnacentral:tRNA from 1 species